GGGCUGGUGGUCUAGUGGUAUGACGUUCCCUUGACAGGGGAAAGGUCGGCGGUUCAAUUUAACGCAAAGCAACGCUUUGCGGACUUUGCUAAUGCAAAGUGAAGCGAAUAAAUUUCGCGUCAUGAAAAUCCGCCCCGGCCCA
rnacentral:tRNA from 1 species